AGCAGCCGCGGUAAUUCCAGCUCCAAUAGCGUAUAUUAAAGUUGUUGCAGUUAAAAAGCUCGUAGUUGAAUUUCGGGAUCAAUUAAUUGGUCGUGCCUCUGGUACGUACUGGUUUUAUUGGUUUCUCCCUUCUGACGAACCAUGAUGUCAUUAAUUUGGUGUCGUGGAGAAUCAGGACUGUUACUUUGAAAAAAUUAGAGUGUUUAAAGCAAGCUAACGCUUGAAUACAUUAGCAUGGAAUAAUGAAAUAGGACGUUUGAUCCUAUUUUGUUGGUUUCUAGGAUCGACGUAAUGAUUAAUAGGGAUAGUCGGGGGCAUUAGUAUUCAAUUGUCAGAGGUGAAAUUCUUGGAUUUAUUGAAGACUAACUACUGCGAAAGCAUUUGCCAAGGAUGUUUUCAUUAAUCAAGAACGAAAGUUAGGGGAUCGAAGACGAUCAGAUACCGUCGUAGUCUUAACCAUAAACUAUGCCGACUAGGGAUCGGAUGAUGUUAAUUUUUUAAUGACUCAUUCGGCGCCUUA
rnacentral:misc_RNA from 1 species